CGGGAUGUGGCUCAGCCUGGUUAGAGCGCUGCACUGGGGGUGCAGAGGUCGCAAGUUCGAAUCUUGUCAUCCCGACUA
rnacentral:tRNA from 2 species